UGAUUUCACUCGAAGCCGGAAUACUAAACUAGUUACCGUCCACAGUGGAAUCAGCGACUGGGGUGAAGUCGUAACAAGGUAACCGUAGGAGAACCUGCGGUUGGAUCACCUCCUUUCUAGA
rnacentral:rRNA from 1 species